rnacentral:rRNA from 1 species
UACGGGGGGAGCAAGCGUUGUUCGGAUUUACUGGGCGUAAAGGGCGCGUAGGCGGCACCGCAAGUCAGUUGUGAAAUCUCUGGGCUUAACCCAGAAAGGUCAACUGAUACUGCGGGGCUAGAGUGCAGAAGGGGCAACUGGAAUUCUCGGUGUAGCGGUGAAAUGCGUAGAUAUCGAGAGGAACACCUGCGGUGUAGACGGCUUACUGGACCAUCACUGACGCUGAGGCACGAAAGCGUGGGUAGCAAACAGG